rnacentral:rRNA from 1 species
AGUGAACGCUGGCGGUAGGCCUAACACAUGCAAGUCGAACGGCAGCACAGUAAGAGCUUGCUCUUACGGGUGGCGAGUGGCGGACGGGUGAGGAAUACAUCGGAAUCUACUUUUUCGUGGGGGAUAACGUAGGGAAACUUACGCUAAUACCGCAUACGACCUACGGGUGAAAGCAGGGGAUCUUCGGACCUUGCGCGAUUGAAUGAGCCGAUGUCGGAUUAGCUAGUUGGCGGGGUAAAGGCCCACCAAGGCGACGAUCCGUAGCUGGUCUGAGAGGAUGAUCAGCCACACUGGAACUGAGACACGGUCCAGACUCCUACUGGAGGCAGCAGUGGGGAAUAUUGGACAAUGGGCGAAAGCCUGAUCCAGCCAUACCGCGUGGGUGAAGAAGGCCUUCGGGUUGUAAAGCCCUUUUGUUGGGAAAGAAAAGCAGCAGGUUAAUACCCCGCUGUUCUGACGGUACCCAAAGAAUAAGCACCGGCUAACUUCGUG